CACCUCUCAGGGUCACACCUGGAGAGUUUCCAGUACUCUACCAGUUUCAACUAUGGGAGGGAGAGUCAAGCACAGGCGUAUCCAUUUCAUUCCUAGCUUGGACAAUGUCUAGUGAGUGAAAAGCAAUCUGCUACAAGU